rnacentral:rRNA from 2 species
UGCAAGUCGUACGCACUGGCCCAACUGAUUGAUGGUGCUUGCACCUGAUUGACGAUGGAUCACCAGUGAGUGGCGGACGGGUGAGUAACACGUAGGUAACCUGCCCCGGAGCGGGGGAUAACAUUUGGAAACAGAUGCUAAUACCGCAUAACAACAAAAGCCACAUGGCUUUUGUUUGAAAGAUGGCUUUGGCUAUCACUCUGGGAUGGACCUGCGGUGCAUUAGCUAGUUGGUAAGGUAACGGCUUACCAAGGCGAUGAUGCAUAGCCGAGUUGAGAGACUGAUCGGCCACAAUGGAACUGAGACACGGUCCAUACUCCUACGGGAGGCAGCAGUAGGGAAUCUUCCACAAUGGGCGCAAGCCUGAUGGAGCAACACCGCGUGAGUGAAGAAGGGUUUCGGCUCGUAAAGCUCUGUUGUUGGAGAAGAACGUGCGUGAGAGUAACUGUUCACGCAGUGACGGUAUCCAACCAGAAAGUCACGGCUAACUACGUGCCCGCAGCCGCGGUAAUACGUAGGUGGCAAGCGUUAUCCGGAUUUAUUGGGCGUAAAGCGAGCGCAGGCGGUUGCUUAGGUCUGAUGUGAAAGCCUUCGGCUUAACCGAAGAAGUGCAUCGGAAACCGGGCGACUUGAGUGCAGAAGAGGACAGUGGAACUCCAUGUGUAGCGGUGGAAUGCGUAGAUAUAUGGAAGAACACCAGUGGCGAAGGCGGCUGUCUGGUCUGCAACUGACGCUGAGGCUCGAAAGCAUGGGUAGCGAACAGGAUUAGAUACCCUGGUAGUCCAUGCCGUAAACGAUGAGUGCUAGGUGUUGGAGGGUUUCCGCCCUUCAGUGCCGGAGCUAACGCAUUAAGCACUCCGCCUGGGGAGUACGACCGCAAGGUUGAAACUCAAAGGAAUUGACGGGGGCCCGCACAAGCGGUGGAGCAUGUGGUUUAAUUCGAAGCUACGCGAAGAACCUUACCAGGUCUUGACAUCUUGCGCUAACCUUAGAGAUAAGGCGUUCCCUUCGGGGACGCAAUGACAGGUGGUGCAUGGUCGUCGUCAGCUCGUGUCGUGAGAUGUUGGGUUAAGUCCCGCAACGAGCGCAACCCUUGUUACUAGUUGCCAGCAUUAAGUUGGGCACUCUAGUGAGACUGCCGGUGACAAACCGGAGGAAGGUGGGGACGACGUCAGAUCAUCAUGCCCCUUAUGACCUGGGCUACACACGUGCUACAAUGGACGGUACAACGAGUCGCAAGCUCGCGAGAGUAAGCUAAUCUCUUAAAGCCGUUCUCAGUUCGGACUGUAGGCUGCAACUCGCCUACACGAAGUCGGAAUCGCUAGUAAUCGCGGAUCAGCAUGCCGCGGUGAAUACGUUCCCGGGCCUUGUACACACCGCCCGUCACACCAUGGGAGUUUGUAACGCCCAAAGUCGGUGGCCUAACCUUUAUGGAGGGAGCCG